CUCCUCUCAAAAUGGCACCUGGAGAGUUACCAGUCUUCUACCAGUCUCGGCUUCAGGUGGAAGAGUUAAGCAGAGGCCUACCCAUUCCAUUCCUAGCUUGGGCAGUGGCUAGCGAGUGGAAGGUGAUCUGCUACAAGU